rnacentral:rRNA from 1 species
AUACGUAGGUGGCAAGCGUUAUCCGGAUUUAUUGGGCGUAAAGCGAGUGCAGGCGGUCUUUUAAGUCUGAUGUGAAAGCCUUCGGCUUAACCGGAGAAGUGCAUCGGAAACUGGGAGACUUGAGUGCAGAAGAGGACAGUGGAACUCCAUGUGUAGCGGUGGAAUGCGUAGAUAUAUGGAAGAACACCAGUGGCGAAGGCGGCUGUCUGGUCUGUAACUGACGCUGAGGCUCGAAAGUAUGGGUAGC